UGAUCCUGCCAGUAGUCAUAUGCUGGUCUCAAAGACUAAGCCAUGCAUGCCUCAGUACAAGUGUUCUACUGCAAAACUGCGGACGGCUCAUUAAAACAGUUCUUGUUUCUUUGACAAUUACUUAUUAUUUGGAUACCCACGGCAAUUCUAGAGCUAAUACAUGACUAGAAGCCUGCCUUUUCAGUGGGGUUGUGCUUAUUACGCACUGAACCAACCCAGAUUCCCUGGCCAUGUUGUUGAUUCAUGAUAAGCCGUCGUAUUGUCUGAUUUGGACGAUGAGUCUCCCAAGUUUCUGACCUAUCAGCUUCCGACGGUAGGGUAGUUGCUUACCGUAGCUUUGACGGGUAACGGAGAAUUGGGGUUCUAUUCCGGGAGAGGGGAGCCUUAGAAACGGCUACCACAUCUAAGGACGGCAGCAGGCGCGUAAAAUUCCCAAUCCUGACACAGGGAGGUAGUGACAAGAAAUACCAAUACAAGGCUUCCAUGUCUUGUAAUUGGGAUGAGUAUAGUUCAAACCAUGUAGCAAGUAUCAAUUGGAGGCAA
rnacentral:rRNA from 1 species